rnacentral:lncRNA from 1 species
GAUAUAGCUGAUAAUGCUGCUUCAACUACCUCCACAUUGUCAUGGUGUAAACAGGACAGUAGCCUUUCAACUGCCUUAGCAUCGAUUAAGCAGAAGCUGUCUUCAGCAGAACAAACGCCUCGGUGGACUGAGCAUAAUGGUACUUUUUCGGACUUUGAACGCAGAGACAUACAUCUUCUUAGUAGAUUAGAUUUAAUGUACUUGUUGCUCUUGAUUGGUGGUGGUUUUGAUAAGUUGACUGAUUGAUUUGAUAAGUUACCUAGACCAAUCGCGGAUAACUUUUGGACUUCAUCGCUUGAUGUUUUCACGAGUAACUCUGUGAAUAUGUAUGUGAAGUUGAACGUUCUUACUACGUGCAGGAUUUGAUGAUCGUAGAGUGUUGUUGUCAAUCUGACAAGAGCUCCUACUAGACCAUCAAAAUAUGCACUUGUGUACCUGUUGAAAAUUUUAUGUAUUAAGUUUAAAGACUACCUUCUAUACGACUAAUAAGAGUGUUGAGAAUACCUGCUUGUUCUUGUCCCACUGACAUGGAUUUUGUUGAUUUGUUCUAUGAUUGUAGGAAUUGUGUUCUUAUUGACCAAUGCUAGGUUGAGUGUCAUGUUUUGGUGGGGAAGCUUUGCAAGAAGAGUUGCGGAGACUGCUUGCUUUUCUGUGAUUAGAGGACUUUCAGAUGGAUUGUGAAUUAGGC